rnacentral:rRNA from 1 species
GACGAACGCUGGCGGCGUGCUUAACACAUGCAAGUCGAACGGAAAGGCCCUGCUUUUGUGGGGUGCUCGAGUGGCGAACGGGUGAGUAACACGCGAGUAACCUGCCCUUGACUUUGGGAUAACUUCAGGAAACUGGGGCUAAUACCGGAUAGGAGCUCCUGCUGCAUGGUGUGGGUUGGAAAGUUUCGGCGGUUGGGGAUGGACUCGCGGCUUAUCAGCUUGUUGGUGGGGUAGUGGCUUUCCAAGGCUUUGACGGGUAGCCGGCCUGAGAGGGUGACCGGCCACAUUGGGACUGAGAUACGGCCCAGACGCCUACGGGAGGCAGCAGUGGGGAAUAUUGCACAAUGGGCGGAAGCCUGAUGCAGCAACGCCGCGUGCGGGAUGACGGCCUUCGGGUUGUAAACCGCUUUCGCCUGUGACGAAGCGUGAGUGACGGUAAUGGGUAAAGAAGCACCGGCUAACUACGUG